ensembl:misc_RNA 7SK 7SK RNA
GGAUGUGAGGGUGAUCUGGCUGUGACAUCUGUCACUCCAUUGAUCAUCAGGGUUGAUUAGGCUGAUCUGGCUGGCUAUGCGGGUGUCCCCUUCCUCCCUCACCAUUUAAUGUGCGUCCCUCCUGAAACUGUGGGCUUGGUUGAAGAGGAUGGCCUUCCCCGAAUAGAGACAGACCGGUCGGGUCUAGGGUAUACGAGUAGCUGCGCUCCCCUGCUACAACCUCCAAACAAGCUCUCAUGAACUGUAUGGAAGAAAUACUCAUCCCUUUAAGUAAGUUGUUAGUUUGUGACAGGAACUUGAUU